CACCUUUUCCUUAUUCUUCUUCUUAAUUAUUCGAAAAUAGUAGCACGUACGAGACUGUCGAUCUUAUGAACUAAGAUUGAUGACCGACGUUAUUAAAGGCGCCCAGCGGAGGAGAGAGCCCGGCGGCCUCCAAGAGCAGCACGUGGAGUGAUGAGUUGCUCCAGAUCAAAGUAGUUAAAUGAGUACUCAGGACGGGUCUUGUUGGCGAAACUAGUGAACCAACAAGCAGAGUACUUUGGGUGCCUGGAGAGAUCGGUGUAGUUGACGUAGUACAGCCCGAACCUAAC
rnacentral:lncRNA from 1 species